rnacentral:rRNA from 1 species
UACGGAGGGUGCAAGCGUUGUCCGGAUUUAUUGGGUUUAAAGGGUGCGUAGGUGGUUUAUUAAGUCAGUGGUGAAAGACGGUCGCUUAACGAUUGCAGUGCCAUUGAUACUGGUAGACUUGAGUUUUGUUAAGGUAGGCGGAAUUGAUAGUGUAGCGGUGAAAUGCAUAGAUAUUAUCAAGAACUCCAAUUGCGUAGGCAGCUUACUGGGCAAAAACUGACACUGAGGCACGAAAGUGUGGGUAUCAAACAGG